AAUUAAUUUAAAUUAAAAUAAAGUUGAUUUUGCUUUUGUUUGUGAAUUGGUUGUUAAUAUAAUAGUUUUAUAUGCUAGUAUUUUGCGUGUUAAUAUAAUUUUCUUAAAGGGAAUUAAUUUUUUUUAUUUGUAGUUUAUAAUUUUG
rnacentral:rRNA from 1 species